GGAAGGUGUAUCUAGAAUUAUAC
rnacentral:rRNA from 1 species